rnacentral:piRNA from 1 species
UGUGGAUUUCGACAGGCUGUUUCC